UACGGCGGGUGCAAGCGUUAAUCGGAAUUACUGGGCGUAAAGCGCACGCAGGCGGUCUGUUAAGUCAGAUGUGAAAUCCCCGGGCUUAACCUGGGAACUGCAUUUGAAACUGGCAGGCUUGAGUCUUGUAGAGGGGGGUAGAAUUCCAGGUGUAGCGGUGAAAUGCGUAGAGAUCUGGAGGAAUACCGGUGGCGAAGGCGGCCCCCUGGACAAAGACUGACGCUCAGGUGCGAAAGCGUGGGGAGCAAACAGG
rnacentral:rRNA from 1 species